rnacentral:rRNA from 1 species
CCAGACUCCUACGGGAGGCAGCAGUGGGGAAUAUUGUACAAUGGGGGAAACCCUGAUGCAGCGACGCCGCGUGAAGGAAGAAGUAUUUCGGUAUGUAAACUUCUAUCAGCAGGGAAGAAAAUGACGGUACCUGACUAAGAAGCCCCGGCUAACUACGUGCCAGCAGCCGCGGUAAUACGUAGGGGGCAAGCGUUAUCCGGAUUUACUGGGUGUAAAGGGAGCGUAGGCGGUGCAGCAAGUCAGAAGUGAAAGCCCGGGGCUCAACUCCGGGACUGCUCUGGAAACUGUACGGCUGGAGUGCAGGAGAGGCAAGUGGAAUUCCUAGUGUAGCGGUGAAAUGCGUAGAUAUUAGGAGGAACACCAGUGGCGAAGGCGGCUUACUGGACUGUAACUGACGUUGAGGCUCGAAAGCGUGGGGAGCAAACAGGAUUAGAUACCCCCGUAAC